CAUCAAUAUUGUGUCUCUAGACUUCUAUAACCACAGAUAGCCUCAAUAUGUCAUCAAUAUUGUGUCUUCCCAAUCUGGAACACUGACAUUAGAAGGCACAAAGGGACCACGGCGGAGGAGGACAUUAAACUGACAGACAGACUAACAGCCUCUCCUCUGCCAGCCUUCAUCAUCAGACACGUUGUAGUGCUGCUGAUCCUACUGACAACAAUCACCACCUCCUACCUGUACUACAAGCCCACCAGGAGGCAGAAGAGAGUGAACAGGGUGAGCAGCAUGGAUCUUUAUGUCAAUGCCAUGGAGAUGGUCUCUCUGAGCUCCAGAGCUGAAGCUGGACCGGGAGAGGAGAGAGCAGCCCAGGGGACGGAGUAGAAUGAAUCUGACCCUACAUGCUGAUCUUAGGUCAGUUGUGUGUUUUAAAUUGAUGGUCAGCAGUGGACUGGUGUUUAAAAUGUGGUGACAAACCUGAAGUGAUUCUAAUUUUAAUAACAAGGUCAGAAUUAGUUUCUCUUUCUAGAACCUUGGAAGAAAUCUAAAAGGAGUGACUGCAACCACCAUUAUUCAUUUAGUUUGUUUUAUACCAACAGAGAAACAUGGGGUUUUGGUAACAUGGGGUUCUGGGUAACAUGGGGUUCUGGGUAACAUGGGGUUUUGAUUGUUUUAAGAGAGUAAUGUCUGUUUUGUGUCCAGAAUGUAUUGCUUUUUGCUUUUGUCUUCAU